UGGAGUAUACACAAGUGUUAAGGCAUUAGUUUUUUGUACCGACAUGCAAAGGUUCGAACCCUUUUACUUCAG
rfam:Hordeum vulgare subsp. vulgare, WGS project CAJW01000000 data, contig: morex_contig_1608815